rnacentral:pre_miRNA from 1 species
AAAGAGACAAACCCUGAGUUUUCGUGUUCAACUUUGACCGUUCGUCUUAUAUGAAAUUUUUUAUAAUUCGUAUUUUCAUUGUUAUUAGAUGAUAAAACAUGAUUAAUAUUUUAUGCGUGACUUGUCUUUUUAAUUUUUUUUCAUAAUUUUUUUAAAUAAGACGGACGGUCAAACGUUGGGCACGGAAACCAGAGUUUAUC